CUCCGCACCGUGUGCAGCGUCUUCGGCCUUGAGGCCCUGAGGACUGUGGGGCCUACACUGUGGGGAUCCUGCAGGGGAAGCACACAGCACCCUGUCCUCUCACCCAAGCAGAACAGCACUUCCUGUCCUUAUUCAAAAGCAGAGCUUAAAGAUCACUUCCUGGACAGGUGCAGCUGCAGAUCUAUGGCCUUCUGGAAGCUGAGUUUCUCUGCAUGCCACCCAGAGAUCAAGUCCACGUAGAAUAAAUUCCACGUCCCAGCAGGAUCUGGAAGCUGGAGGAUUAGGAGGUCAAGGUCAUCUUCUACUACGUAGUGAGGAGAGGAGUUUCUGAUCCACUGGACCUGCUGCUGCCCCUCUGUGCUGCCAGAUGCCGUGCUGUGCUGUGGGAUGCUGAGCUGCUUCCAGACACUUGGGACCCACACAGCCAUUGAGGCCCUGCCGAGGCGACUACAACUUGCCUGCAGUCUGAAUCCUGUUUGCUCUGGAGCCGGACUAGGAAUGCAAACUGAAACAUUUGACUGUUUUAAUCUUUGGGUGGGACAAGAACUCAUUUGAUUAAAAUACUGGACCUGAGAACUAAGACCCAAGCUUUCCCCUCAGGGAAAG